AUUAAUUUAUGUACCUAUAGUCUACAGAUGGGCGAUGGCGAAUGCCGGAUGCCCAAUUAAAUAUUAAUACAUUUCUCAAUUUCUAAUAUAUUUAUUUGUUGUUAUUGUUAACUUUUGCACCGGUUUGUUUGUGCGAUUUUUUAUUUCAAUUAUGAACAAUUCAAAAAGUGUUUCAUACCGCAAAUGUGGUGUGAAAUACCGUAAGAAUAGAAAUUCGCUACAUUCAGCUAAAUAUGUAAUUAGUCACUUCACGUUACCGAAGGACUCUGAAAGACGUGCGAUGUGGAUUGAGAAUUGUGUCCCCGAACUGGCUGACAAAAACGUUGUCGUUAAAGAUUAUUUUGAAGACAAAAAUAUGGUCCUGAAUGUUAAUCGUAGAAACAGGUUAACAAAUAAUGCUGUCCCUACCCUCUUUAACGACGUGCGAUGUGGAUUGAGAAUGGUGUCCCCGAAGUGGCUGACAAAAACGUUGUCGUUAAAGAUUAUUUUGAAGACAAAAAUAUGGUCCUGAAUGUUAAUCGUAGAAACAGGUUAACGAAUAAUGCUGUCCCUACCCUCUUUAACGACGUGCGAUGUGGAUUGAGAAUUGUGUCCCCGAACUGGCUGACAAAAACGUUGUCGUUAAAGAUUAUUUUGAAGACAAAAAUAUGGUCCUGAAUGUUAAUCGUAGAAACAGGUUAACAAAUAAUGCUGUCCCUACCCUCUUUAACGACGUGCGAUGUGGAUUGAGAAUGGUGUCCCCGAAGUGGCUGACAAAAACGUUGUCGUUAAAGAUUAUUUUGAAGACAAAAAUAUGGUCCUGAAUGUUAAUCGUAGAAACAGGUUAACAAAUAAUGCUGUCCCUACCCUCUUUAACGGUAUGAGAUGAUUUCUUGACGAAUUCGCUAUCCAGGACAGGUCGUCAGUCCGUCGCCGGAGAGAGGGUAGCCUGCCCGUUACCGAGUGUCGAACCAGGGCAGUCAGCGAUAACAUGGCCUCCUUACCCACUCGGCCACUCCACCUCCAGAAAUCGUCUAGGAGAAUGAAAUGUUUUAUUUCUAAUCAAAUGGUAUGUGAUUUUUUCGGUGGAAGUAUAUUGUCAAAAUUAUGAUCGACGCCACUUGUAUCUACAUGGAUACACCAAAAUUCAAAUGUUUUGCAAAUUACAGCUAGUAUUAAAAGGUUGUCUCAGUAUAAAUGUGUUUCACGUAGUCUGCAGAAUAUAUAAAAACCCAUGUGCCUUAGUUUAAAAAGAAGUUAUUUAUUUAAUUACCCGGAGAAAGACAUUUUUUAAUUUCUCAUUUUAAAUUAUUAUAUUAUUCUGUCAUUAUAUUUGUAAUAAAUACAAAUAAUACAUUUUAUUAUAGUGCUUAUUAAAUAAUUUGUUAAAUACCUACUAACAAGCAGACGGCAGCUGUAUUUAGACAAUUCACACUAGACUAUAGUGUACAAUGGUCAAUGAAGAAAUAAAUCAGGUUUUCUUUUAUAAACAUCAAUCGGCAGAAGAAAAAAAAUACACAUAUAUUAAACUGUUAUUUUACAUUUUUGUUUGUUUUUGCUAUGGAUUACUUUCUGGCGAACAUAUUAGACGGAUUUCAAUUUGUUUUUCAUGUGAAGCUUACUAAUUACUCUACGGCACCCAAAGCCCGAUAUUAUUUUAGAUAUUAGAAAAUUAGUUUCUUAGAAGAAACUAGUAGAAGUAAAGUAUAAACGCUUUUGAUACAAUUUUAUUCACAAAAAUAAAAAAUUGGACUUUAAGCUCCCGUAGAGAAAAUAUUAAGUUUAAAACAAAAUAAACAAAGUUUUGAAAUCAUUACGGUAAAAACUUAAAAAAGUGACUUCGCGUUUGAGUGUAAUUGUAUAAAAUUUUGCGCUUUUCUUGCCGCUUCAUAAAUAGAGUUAUUAGAAUUAUUUCUUAGGUUAUAAAAAUGUUAAUCAGUGUUGAAAGUACUUAGAGUUGAGCCAAAGUUAAGGAUCUAAAGUUGUAUAGUCAUCUUAUUUUAAUAGACUGAUAUCAUUUGGGGAAGGGGUAAGUAAGGGGGAUGCGGGGUAUUAUGUGGAUAGACAGGAUUUAAAAGAAAAAUAAUAUUAAAAUGAUAAACCCUUAGAUGUUAACGACUUACGAGUUUGACAUCUCGUCCGUAUACCACACUUAGUAUUUUACAGGUACGAUACAGAUACCAUUUAUAACUGUUAUUAUAAAUGAUGUCAAUUACUAUUUAUCUUAAUUUUUUAUGAAAUGUUUACUUGAAUCUUAAUGUAAAUCGACCACACAACACUAUCAUCCCAAUAAUAAGAUGACAGUGCUGUACUAAUGAAAUCUCAAUAAUAUUAGUGUGUAUGUAUGUAUGUGAAGUAGACUGUAGUAUGUAGUAUCCAUAUUGAUAUGAAAUUUAAAAAAUAUAUAUAUUUCUGAGAUGUCAAAACCACAGCUUAUGUAUAUUACACGCAUUGUGUGUUUGUCUCCGGCGACGGAUAGCGAACAUGUCAAGAAACCAUCUCAUGAUGGCAGCUUUGGGCCCCUUCAUAAUCUGUUAAGGUACAAGAUGAUGAUACACCUAAUAGUCAUCUAAUAGUCUGCUGUCUAUGGUAACACAUAUUCCAAUAAGAGUUAGAACAUGAAGACAUAACGCAUAAUAUGCAUAUUUAUAUAAUUACCGCUGUUCAUUUGACGCUCUUUAGUUUGCCUGGUGGUGACAGUUUAACACUUCCAUAUUAUCGUCUCAAUAUUGUAGUGGAUUAAGUUUUAAAUACUUAUACAAUCAAUAAAAAUUAAGCGAUUAGGCAAAUUAACAAAAAUGGAAAAGAUAAGGUGUAAAAUAUUGUUUUUUUUAGUAAUUACAAAUCGUUAACUUGACUAGCUUU